UGAGGAUAACCUUACUCUUAGCGUAAGAUCAAUUGCAACUCAGGAAAAUAUUCAGAAGAGUGCAGUUCAUGAAAUUUUACAAGAGCAACUCCUACAUCCCUUUCAUUAUCAAAAGGUUCAAGCUUUAAGCCCUGAAGAUCCAGUGACUCGACUUAAUUUUUGUAGGACCAUUAGAAACCUUCAUAAUUGUAUUCAAAAUUUCACAUGUUUUAUUUUCUUCACCGAUGAAGCUAAAUUUAGACAUGAUGGGUUAAUAAACCGUCAUAUUAAACAUUAUUGGUGCGACAAAAACCCCCAUGUAGUUAUAGAACAACGUUUUCAGAAUAAAUUUUCCCUCAAUGUGUGGGCUGCUAUUGUCGACGAUCAUUUAAUAGGGCCACAUUUUUUUCCGCAAAGAUGGUGUUCCUCUUCAAAUAAGGCGUAAAAUGUAGCUGCUACAAGACGGCGCUCUAUCUCCAUUAAACAACCAUGCCCAUGCCAGGAUUUGAACCUAACGAAUUGAACCAUACGACUGCAUCGUGAAUAUUUGCCCACGGUAUCACCGGGGUCAGAUUAAAAUAUCUUCUUUAAUAAAUUUAUUUUAGUGGAAUUUUCUGUUCUUUCGAAACUUUCCUUUUCCUAAGAUAUUCUAGGACACCCUAUAUACAAAUAUGAACUAAACGAAAUUCUUUUUGUGUUAAA